rnacentral:rRNA from 1 species
CUUCGGGUCUAGCGGCGGACGGGUUAGUAACGCGUGGGAACGUACCCUUUUCUACGGAAUAGCCUUUGGAAACGAAGAGUAAUACCGUAUACGCCCUUCGGGGGAAAGAUUUAUCGGAGAAGGAUCGGCCCGCGUUAGAUUAGAUAGUUGGUGGGGUAAUGGCCUACCAAGUCUACGAUCUAUAGCUGGUUUUAGAGGAUGAUCAGCAACACUGGGACUGAGACACGGCCCAGACUCCUACGGGAGGCAGCAGUGGGGAAUCUUAGACAAUGGGCGCAAGCCUGAUCUAGCCAUGCCGCGUGAGUGAAGAAGGCCUUAGGGUCGUAAAGCUCUUUCGCCAGGGAUGAUAAUGACAGUACCUGGUAAAGAAACCCCGGCUAACUCCGUGCCAGC